UUGCCAGCCCGCUCAGAACUUAAAGGAAUUGACGGGGGCCCGCACAAGCGGAGGAGCAUGUGGUUUAAUUCGAUGAUACGCGAGGAACCUUACCUGGGCUCGAACGUAAGAUGACUGUAGGUGAAAAGCUUACAUCUCUUCGGAGCAUUUUACGAGGUGCUGCAUGGUUGUCGUCAGCUCGUGCCGUGAGGUGUCGGGUUAAGUCCCAUAACGAGCGCAACCCCUACCUUUAGUUGCCAUCAGGUAAUGCUGGGGACUCUAAAGGAACUGCCUACGCAAGUAGUGAGGAAGGCGGGGAUGACGUCAAAUCAGCACGGCCCUUACGUCCAGGGCUACACACGUGCUACAAUGGCCGAUACAGAGGGCAGCUACCUGGUGACAGGAUGCAAAUCUCCAAAGUCGGCUCAGUUCGGAUCGGAGUCUGCAACCCGACUCCGUGAAGUUGGAUUCGCUAGUAAUCGCGCAUCAGCCAUGGCGCGGUGAAUACGUUCCCGGGCCUU
rnacentral:rRNA from 1 species